rnacentral:snRNA from 1 species
GCUCACUUUGGCAGAAUGUGUAAUAAAAUUGGAACAACACAGAGAUUAGCAUGGCCCCUGAGCAAGGAUGACACAGAAAUUUGUGAAGCUUCCAUAUUUUUU